UUGCUGUGAAUUGUUUGUUUAAGUUUGAGAAUCUACUGGAUGAGACAGUAGUUUCGGAGAAUCCGAAGGGUGCUGUUUUGGAUUUGAUUAGAAAGACAAAUCCGAAUAUAUUUAUUCAUAGCAUUGUUAAUGGUGGUUACGAUGAACCUUUUUUUGUGACAAGGUUUAAGGAAGCUGUUUUUCAUUAUUCAGCAUUGUUUGAUAUGCUUGAUAACAACAAUGUUGAACGUGAGGAUCCUGUUAGGUUGAUGUUUGAGGGAGACGUUUGGGGGAAAGAUAUAAUGAAUGUUAUAGCUUGUGAAGGUUGUGAUAGGGUUGAGAGGCCAGAGACAUACAGGCAUUGGCAUUCUAGGCACAUAGGAAAUGGGUUUAGGUCUUUGAAAUUGAAUAAGCAGAUUAUAGAUAAAUUGAAGGGUAGGUUGAGAAAUGAUGCAUAUAAUAGUGAUUUUUUAUUUGAGGUGAAUGAAAAUUGGAUGCUACAAGGUUGGAAGGGUAGAAUUCUAUUUGGUUCUUCAUGUUGGGUUCCAGCAUAGACCUUCACAAUAUGUUGGGAGUAAAUCAACAUUUUUGUUCUUGAAAAUUGUAUGAAUCAAACAAUUCAGUUUUUGAAAAACUUGUAUGAAUCAAACAAUUCAGUUUAUCAGAUUUGCAAAAUAGAAAAGGUUGUAUGUUUUUGAUUUGAGAGAUAGAGUUAAGACUAUGAGUCACUCUAGUAAAAUUUGAAUCUUAUUCACUAUUCAAAGGUUCAAUUCGUAAGACACCUCUACUUAUGGACAAUCUUAGAAGACAAAGGUUUAAGUCGUAAUACACAUUUGCUUAUGCAAUCUUAAUAGAAUUAGAAACCACUAGUCAUUUUUAAAUUCAAGUGUGAGAUUGUUGGAGCACUUGAGUGUAAGGUGUGAAUCGAAAAAUUCCUAAGUCAACUCUUCCAAUAAUUGGUCAUUUAUGAGACGAGAUAAAGCCAUUGAUUUCAAAAUGGUAAAAUGAUCAUAGCCAUUGAAUUUGUAACUUAUCUGUGACUCCUCACCUAUAAUAUAGCUCAUCUCCCUAAUUUAUCUUUAUCUCUUCUCCCUCCUUUAGCUUGUGUUGAUGAGCUUUUUUUUUUGUCCCGUCGGAUUUAAAGAGUGUUCAUAUGACCAUAGUCCCUUUGAGAAAUAACGUCCCUUCAAAAUUAAAAAUGUUCUUAAGAGCAUAGUUCAUUUGAAAAUAAGUUUCUUCUUAAGAUUACAAUCCCUUUCGAUAUAAAUUGUCCAUUCGGAGAUAAGAAUGAUCUUAAGAAUAUAGUCCCUUUCAUUAUAUGAAUCCCUUGAAGAAGUUAGAAGUUAGAAUGGUGAAAACACCAUAUUGAAGUGGUCUCAGUACCAUAAUAGAGUGAUAUCGAUACUAUAUUGAAGUGGUCUUAUCACCAUAUUUUGAAGGUGUGUUCUAGAAUGGAUCCUACAAUGCAAUUAGACUUUGAUACAGUUGCAGUUGAACUGUUUUAUCACGGGGACGUCGUGAUUGAUAAUUUACUUACACAAUUUUGAGUGGUGUCACAAAACGUUUUAAAGAGAGCGACAUAAUCCGCGACUCACCUAAUAAUCUCUUUGAUGACUGAAAAUAUUUUUGAACUAAUUUUAAAUUUUGUUCCAACAAAUAUUAAGUUCAUCACUUCUAAUUCAAUAUCUUCCAUUUUGAAUUUAUGAUAAUGGUGAAUGCACAAAUACAUGAUAAAGAUACUUAAAAUCAUAUAUAUAUAUAUAUAUAUAUAUAUAUAUAUCCUUCUCAUUUUUAUGAAGGUGCGUAUUAGCAAGAUACACCUUCAUAAGUUGGACAAAAACACCAUUGCUUUUAAAUUAAAAAUAAAUAAAAUUAAGGGUAGCAAUGUAAUUUUGCUUCUUUUUGUAUCUCUCUCUCACUUCUCAUCCCUCCCACUUCUUCAAAACACAAUGAUGAAAUAACAGAGACCACCAGAGAUUCGGUGAGUUAACGCCGCCGCCACACAUCUUGCCAUCGAAAAGCUACUUCUCUUCUCAGAUGUUUCGUGUCAUCUUUCUUGGAAAAGAAGGACGCUAACUCAGACACAUAACAGAUGUCUGGUUCUCUUCCUCGGAUCAAUCCUCCCUCUUCCGAUGCACACACUCCUCACACAUAUCUCCGAUUCGGCGUCACCAAAUCCGUUACCGGAACUGCUAAUGUCGAUUGCUGGGAGAAAUUGAACACGGUCCACUCAGAUCCAGAAUUUUGUUAUUAAAAGUGGAUUCAGAUUUUUUUUUUAAUUAGUUAGUUCAGAAACAAAAAAUAGUCAUGAACUGGGCAUCUUGAUUAGUUUAUCGUUUUAAAUUCAUAACUUAAACAAGGGAUCUUCAUCUUUUCUUGCUCGUGAAUAGUAAGCUCCUAAUAUGUUAGAUAGCAAGUUAAAGUUGUAUUGGGGAAGAAGAGAUGUGAGAGGAGUUUUGUUGUUCCCACAUAUACUAUGGCUGUGCCACACCAGUAAUUUACGCAAAUACCUUCUCGGCAGUUAACUGCCGCCGGUUUCCUAGUUAACUGCCGAGGAAAAUGUUUCAUCCGAUGAAACAGCUACCUGCUCCCCCCUACACACUAUUUUUCAUCACCUUCAUUUCCAACCUCAUUUCAAUCCCAAAAUCCAUUUUUUCUAUAAUCAAUUUUUGAUCCAAAAUCAUUCAAGCAUCAAGCAUAGGAGGUAUCAACACACUAUUGACGUAAAAAAACAGGUAUUGUGCGUUUUAUUUGAGUCAUUUUAUGGGUGUUUUAGGGGUAUCUACGUCAGUUACGUAGAACCCUGUCAUGGGAAUCAGGAAAACUUCGGUUGUUUAGUGCCGAGGAAAACCUCGGUAGCUAGGUACCGAGGAACUCUUGGUGAAAAUUUUCACCACGAAAAAAUGGCAGCCACUGCCAAAUUUUCAAAUUUUUUUUUCUUUUGUUUUUUUUUUUUGUGUUUUUUGUUUUGAUUCAUUAUGGCAUUGAUGUUUAUGCAUUACUUAGUUGUUAAUUCAUAUUUAUGUGUUGUUUAAUUAUAGUAAUGGUAAAGAAUGUGAAAGAUGUUCCGGGAGAGACAAAAGAAAAUUUUGUCGAAAAUUCCGGAGAUGUCAAACCGCCUAAUUUUGAAGCGAAAACAAACAUAGAUGAAGCUUCCGUCCAUGUUGAAGCUUCAAAGUAUGUUGGCGGCUCCGGUGUACUCCCACUUCAACCCCACGAGGUCGACACGGCUAAGUUUUUUUCAGACGACGUUAAGUCGAAAAAUAGAGAUGAAUUGCUUGAGUGGGUGCGCCGACAAGCAAAUAAGGCGGGAUUUACCAUUGUCACACAAAGAUCAAGCUUGAUCAAUCCAAUGUUCCGGCUAGUGUGUGAAAGGAGUGGAAGUCACAUAGUUCCGAAAAAAAAACCGAAGCAUGCGAACACGGGCUCAAGAAAAUGCGGUUGCUUAUUCAUGAUUAGUGGAUAUCAAAGUAAGCAAACAAAGGAAUAAGGAUUGAACAUUCUUAAUGGAGUUCACAACCAUCCCAUGGAGCCGGCUUUAGAAGGACACAUUCUUGCCGGUAGAUUAAAGGAGGACGACAAGAAGAUCGUACGUGACUUGACCAAGAGCAAGAUGCUUCCAAGAAAUAUUUUGAUACACUUGAAGAACCAGAGACCACAUUGCAUGACAAAUGUGAAGCAAGUGUACAAUGAACGUCAACAAAUAUGGAAGGCAAAUAGGGGUGACAAGAAGCCGUUGCAAUUUCUAAUCUCGAAGUUGGAGGAGCACAACUAUACUUAUUACUCAAGAACACAACUUGAAAGUAAUACUAUUGAAGAUAUUUUUUGGGCUCAUCCAACAUCCAUUAAAUUGUUUAACAAUUUUCCAACGGUUUUGGUUAUGGACUCCACGUACAAGACCAACAUGUAUAGGAUGCCAAUGUUUGAGGUAGUUGGGGUGACUUCAACCGAUUUGACAUAUUCGGUUGGGUUUGGAUUUAUGACACAUGAGAAAGAAGAAAACUUUGUUUGGGUUUUAACAAUGUUGCGUAAACUUCUUUCGUCAAAGAUGAAUAUGCCUAAGGUGAUUGUUACCGAUAGGGAUAUGUCUUUGAUGAAAGCGGUUGCACAUGUUUUUCCGGAAAGUUAUGCAUUGAAUUGUUUUUUUCAUGUGCAAGCUAAUGUUAAACAAAGGUGUGUCUUGAAUUGUAAAUAUCCUUUGGGCUUUAAAAAGGAUGGGAAAGAGGUGAGCAAUCGGGAUGUGGUGAAGAAGAUAAUGAACGCAUGGAAAGCUAUGGUUGAAUCUCCCAAUCAACAAUUAUAUGCAAAUGCAUUAGUGGAGUUCAAAGAUUCAUGUAGUGAUUUCCCAAUUUUUGUAGAUUAUGCCAUGACCACCUUGGAUGAAGUGAAGGACAAAAUUGUGAGGGCAUGGACAGACCAUGUGUUGCAUCUUGGUUGCAGGACCACAAACAGGGUCGAAUCGGCCCAUGCUUUGUUGAAGAAAUACUUGGACAAUAGUGUGGGUGAUUUGGGUACUUGUUGGGAGAAAAUACAUCACAUGUUGUUGCUCCAGUUGACCGCUAUACAAACAUCCUUUGGUCAAAAUGUUUGCGUGUUGGAACAUAGAUUCAAAGAUGUCACUUUGUACUCGGGGUUAGGUGGUCAUGUGUCUAGAAAUGCUUUGGACAACAUUGCUUUGGAAGAAAAACGUUGUAGGGAAACAUUGUGCAUGGACAAUGACAUUUGUGGUUGUGUUCAAAGGACAUCUUAUGGACUACCAUGUGCAUGUGAAAUUGCUACAAAACUCCUUCAAGAGAAGCCAAUUUUAUUGGAUGAGAUAUACCACCAUUGGCUUCGGUUAUCUAUGGGUGAACAAAGUAAUGAAGAUGCUUUUUGUGUCGAGGUUGAGUUGAAGGCUAUUGUAGAGCGUCUAAAGAAACUCCCUUUCCAAAUGAAGCUUGAGGUCAAAGAGGGUUUGCGGCAAUUGUCAUUUCCUGAAACCACCUUGAUGUCUCCACCACCACGAAAAGUACCAAUCAAGGGAGCAAAGAAAAAAGUCGACAUUGCGAGGUCUAAAGGAAAAAUUACAUCGACUAGUCGGAUCCCUUCUUCUUGGGAGGUUGUUGAUUCCCAAAAUCCGGAUAGCCAACCGUCACCAUCACCAACUACAUCAUCAUAUAAAAGGAAAAAAGGUGCUCGUCUUGGUAAAACAUCACUUUCCCCACUUCCACCACCUACUCGGUAUCCAAAGCCUAAAGCUAUCCCGGUUAUGCGUCCUAUUGAUUAUAUGCCACGCUUCAUGCUUCCAUUUAUUGAAAAAGUGGUGGAUGUUAUCGGCGAUGGACAUUGCGGAUUCCGGGCUAUAGCGGAGUUCAUGGGCUUGACCGAAAAAAAUCAUCUCAUGAUCCAUACACAUCUUAUCCAAGAGUUGAUGGAUCAUAGAGAUGAUUAUGUUGAAGUAUUUGCGGGUGAGGAUCGUUAUAACUACAUUUUAAACGGAUUACAUCCUCCCGCAAAUACAAAAACUUGUGCACAUCUUGUUGAUAAGUGGUUGACAUUUCCGGACAUGGGACACAUUGUUGCUAAUUAUUACAAAAUGUGUGUGGUUGUGUUGACAAAUCUUGAAGUUGGAAAAUCGGAAUCGUUUUUCCCACUAAGAGGGCCACCACCGCCGGGUAAUCAAAAAACUCCCAUCUUGUGCCUUGGGGCAAUUCCAAAUCAUUUUGUGCUUAUUUCCUUGAAGAAUGGUUGUCCACUACCUCCAUCAUCUACGGAGUGGCACAAUCACAAGAAAGAAGAUGCGGUGACUUGGGAAGAUGAGUAUUUGGAUCGACAUGACUUGUUUCGAAAGCUCAUGGCUAUUGAAAGUGGAAACAAACCGUGCAAACCACAAAAGGAGUCAAACAAAGCGGCGCCUAUUUUGUUGGACACUCCCGAAAAACCAAAGCAACAAUUUGAAGUUAUUGCGGAAGAUGAGGAAGAUUCUAUGUCACUUGAUCUUCUCCAAUCACUUGGUCUUUAAUGAGUGAUUUUUUUGUCGGUGUUAGUUCGUUUUUUUUUGGUAGAAAUUACACCGAUGUAUUUUUUUGGGUCGAAAUUGUAACGCCAAUUUUUUGGUGGCCAAUAUAUAACUAACAUUAUGUAAUUUAUAUUGAUAUAUAUAUAUAUAUAUAUAUAUAUAUAUAUAUAUAUAUAUAUAUAUAUAUAUGAUAAUAUGAUUUUUAUGUGGAGAAAAUAAUGCAAUACUAAUUUAUAGCUUUUUAAUGUUUUCCGCAUUUCAUUUAUUCGUUAUUACAUUCCAUUUAAUUUUGUUCUAAUAUAUGAUUCUUUUGUUACAAAAUUUUUCAAGUGAGACAUGUCUGAGGUUGCACAAAUUGAAGGGCGGGUUAGGUACUCCGCGUUUAAAAAGACGGUUAAGAUUAUGAUAACGCCGACGGACUCUCUUGACAAUUUGAAAGCACAACUUAACACUUAUUUUGAGCAUCUUGGUGAAAAUCAAUAUACACGUCACUUGUUUGGUCAAAUGCCAUGCAUAGACCUAGGAGAAGAUAGAGAUGAAUACGCAUGGAAAACGGCAAGCUAUAUGCCUUUGCUUAUUCGCGACGACGGCGACGUCGGAUUUAUGUUUCGGAAUAUGGUGGAAGACAAUAUAUUAUAUAUGUAUGUUCGUUCCAUAUGUAAUUGCAUUGAAUGUAAGUAGGGAUUUAAUUUAAUGAUGUGUAAUGAGUAGUUUAAUUAUGGACACUUUGUAAUGUUUUGAUGAAUUUCAAACGUCUGUUUAAUUUUAACCAAAUGUCGGUUUAAUUUAAUUAUGAACAAUUGUAAAAGAUAUUGUAUUUAUCUUCAUUAUGUCCGAGUUUCAAUCAUACAUAUGAAUUAUAUUACCUUUGGAAAUGCUCUGGUUUAAUUACAGGUAAAAACUGGCCGAAAAAAUGGCUUGGAAAUACUUAGAAUUAUGCAGAACCUGCUGUCUGCAUAAUCAAAUUUCCUUGGCCGUUAACUACCGAGGUUUUCCUCGGCAGUUAACUGCCGCCGGUUUCCUAAAAACCUCGGUAGCAAACUGCCGAAGGGUAUUUUGGUAUUUUACUCGUGUGGCACAGCCAAACAACAUGUGGGAACAACAAUACUCAUGUGAGAGAAGUGAGAGAGAGGAUACAAAAGAAGCACAAUUACAUUCCUACCCUUAAUUUUAUUUAUUUUUAAUUUAGAAAAUACAAACCUUCGUAAAAAUGAGAAUGUGUGUUGUAACAUUCCCUAUAUAUAUAUAUAUAUAUAUAUAUAUAUAUAUAUAUAUAUAUAUAUAUAUAUAUAUAUAUAUAUAGGGUGUAAGUUAAAAGACUUACACCAAAUCUUAACCAUUAAAUCAAAUCAAUUCAAUGGUUCACAAAUGUUUCCUAAAAGGUGCAUGUGAGUCCUCUUUUUCGUUUGUCAUUGGAACAAAAAAAUCCCCAGAUUCACAACAGCUUCAAAGAAAUCGGAUCCAAGCUUCUAUUGCUUAAUUCAUAUGGCUUCUUUUCUUCUUUUCUUUUUAACAAAAAAUUCCUAGAUCUACAACAACAAGAAACAAAUCCCUCGAUUUUUCUUUUCUAAAUUUCUUAUGAAUAAUUCGGUGUUAUUGUCCAUCUAAAAUUUGUACCAAUUCGUGGCCAAUAAACAACAUUUCAAUUUCUUGGAUUUCAGUAUUCUUUCUAUAACAAUGGUGGUCUUUCUUGUUUCAGAAAUUGGAAUAAAUAAAUUUCAUGUAUCAAAAGCUAGGUUUCAUUUGACGUUGACGACAAAACAGAAAAAUUGAUGUUGACACAUUUAAUAGGGCUGAAAAACACAUGUAAAUUAUCCAAAUACCCUUCAGCAGUUAACUACCGAGGAAAACCUCGGCAGUUAACUGCCGAAGUCCAAUUUAAUCCAUCGACACUUAAGUGCCGAGGAAAUCAUAACUUCAUUUUCUUCGAUACUUCUUCUUCUAAAAGUGCUGAAAUUUCAUUAUCAAUAACUACUAGAUGGCUGGGUUGAAUUUGAAUGCCAUAGCUCUUUCAAUGGUGUGAUUUAGUAGAAUGAAUAUUGUCAUUGAUUUUCAGGCGGGCAAUAAAAUAGAAACUCACGUUUAAAAGAAUUCGUCUUUCUAAAGUAUAUGAUUUUUGUUGUACUCUAAUUCAUCAUAGUGAUCCACAAAUGCAUGUUGUAGAUUCAUAGAAACUCUAAUCCCAAAGUUCGGUUAGCCACAAAUAAAAGAGAUUUUUUUUCCUUUUGUUGUUGAAAUUACUCUUUAAAUGUCUUUCUUUCUAUUGUCUUCAAGUGCAUCUCAUCUUUUGGAGUUUGAGGCCAAUAUUUUGUCUUCACAAAAACCGCCAUAGUUUUCAAAGAUAAAGCUUUUGAACCUGCGAAAAUUUUCCUAAAUGUCUAGUUAGAAUGCUUUGGAAGUUGUUUAAUGUAGAUGGGUCAAUUAGGCAUGAAGGUAUACGAGAUGCACUUGAAACUUGGGAUCUUCAAAUAUGGCAAAGCUUUCAUUUGGGGAUUCAUGAUGAUAAUUCACUUGCUCACAAGCAAAGCAUAUGAAAUUUCAGAGCGAUUCAUGGAUGAUAAUGAAGUUAUUGAAGAAGAAGUAUUGAAGAAAAUGAAGUUAUAAUUUCCUCGACACUUAAGUGCCGAUGGAUUAAAUUGGACUUCGACAGUUAAUUGCCGAGGUUUUCCUCGGUAGUUAAUUGCAGUCGGUUCCAAAAAAAUUCGACAGUUAACUACUGAGGGGUAUUUGGGUAAUUUAUAUAUGUUUUUCAGCCCUAUCAAAUGUUUCAACAACAAUUUUCGCAAAACAGUGAAAGAAGAAGGAUGAAUUACAUAUAUCUCACUAUUUCUUUUUAUUUGACGGAUAGUUGUGAACCAUUGGAUUAAUUUGAUUUAAUAGUUGAGAUUUGGUUGACUUAGUGUCAACGGAUCCUGCCUAUAUAUAUAUAUAUAUAUAUAUAUAUAUAUAUAUAUAUAUAUAUAUAUAUAUAUAUAUAUAUAUAUAUAUAUAUAUAUAUAACUUAUACACUUUUUUUUAAUAUGUGUGAAAUUAUCAAAUGACCCACUCAUUGUAGGAUGGAUGGAGUAAAACUUACUAAAUCAAUAGUGUAUUAAAGCUAUCUUAUAUAAUUAUUCUUAUUUUUAUUUGUAACAUAUCAAAUUUUUUAUAAAUUUAACUUGUUGGGUCUUGAGUUGGAUUUCUAACUAACGCUAACAACUCAUUAACUAUUGAUUCAACAUUAGAAAGAGAAGUACAGUCCCCGUGAGCUUAGCUCAGUUGGUAGGAAUAUUGCAUAUUAUAUGCAGGGGUUGGAGUUCGAAUCCCAGACACUCCACUUCUCCACAAUUUAAUUGUGUGAGCUCUAGCCACUAGGCUACUUGACCAAAAAAAGAAGAAAGAGAAGUACAAUGCAUAACACCCCCACGAAGCCCCCCAAAAUUAUCAUGAAGGGACAUUAGAAAUCAAACCACGCUGCUUUGACGACUUUCAACUCAUCAAAUCCCAUAAGAGCCAUCUGACCCCCACAAUUUUGUCGUAGCCGAAUAGCACUCUUGAACGGACAUAUUGUUUUGUUUGAGUGCCCUAAUAUCACAUUCUAGUUGAUACCGUUUUGCAAAAUUUGAUUGAUCAUACAUUCAUUUUAGAUGAUCCCAAAUCUCUUCAACAGUUUGAUAUUUUGCUUGUUGCAAACCUAUGUGCUGCUGAUCAACAAAAUUAUUAAUCCAUGUAAUAAAUUUUGAAUUACUUGUUGGGUAAAUAUACGUUUACCCUGUAAUAUUAACGGUUUUUGGUUUACUUCCUGUAAUUUUUUUUGUUUAGAUUUCAACCUUGUAAUUUGAAAAUUAUUCGAUUUUGGAUCUUUAUGGUAUCAAAUUUCAAAAUUUAAGGUACUUUCGCCUCAUGUAAUUUGAGCGAUUUUUUGUUUACCCUAUAUCAUAUCAUCGAUUUUGUACAGUCAAAAUGUCAAAAACUAAAGAAUAUUCUUCAAAAUUACAAGGUUAAAAUCUAAACAAUUUUUUUACAGAGAUUAAACCACAAACCACAAAUAUUACACUGGAUUAAUCAUAUAUUAACCCUUGCUACUUUUAAACAUAUUAUUUCAUGUUUUGAAAGCUUGUACAUACUUAUCUAACAUCAUUUUAAUUUUUUUGACUUAAAAGAAGUUCCAUCAACCCCACAUAUCUUUUCCUAUAAUUUUCCUUUUUUCAUCACAUAAUAAGAGUAGUUCUGUCCAAUACGAUGAACACUAAUAGUUUGAAGAGAAACAUCCUUGUCACUACCCAUAGCGAACAAUGACAACCCACCAAUGAAACAUCAUGAUGGCUAGUAAUGAACAUAACACCAAUACAAAGUCUUACAAGGAGUAUAUAUAUAUAUUAGAGAAUAUAAAAGUCUAAUAUAUCCAUACUACUAACUAAUAAUAACAAUGUGACUAUCCAGAUAUAUGAGAUAUGAUGUAACAAAAAAAAAAAAAAAGAUAUAUGAGAUUAGAUAUGACUGCUAUUGUUUUUGUAAAUUAGAGGGUUGGCUCGUUACGUGAACCCUUCAUAAACAAAUGUUAUUUAAGGGAUUGGUGCUAGUCACACCCCAAUAAAAACAAGUUACACCUUAGAAUGACUAAUAUACCCCUAAAUUGAACAUAAGUAAACUUAAUUUACAUUAACCUAGAUUGAACGUAAGUAAACUGAAUUUACACUAACCUCUUAUAUACAUACUAUAUACAUACCUAUAUACAUACGUAAACUAAAUAACCUAAAUUGAACGUAAGUAAACUUAAUUUACAUUAAUCUAAAUUGAACGUAAGUAAACUGAAUUUACACUAACCUCUUAUAUACAUACCAUAUACACACGUAAACUAAAUUUACAUUAACCUAAAUUGAACAUAAGUAAACUUAAUUUACAUUAACCUAGAUUGAAUCUAAGUAAACUGAAUUUACACUAACCUAAAUUGAAAAUACGUAAAUCUGAAUUUACAUUAACCUACAUACGUAAACUGCACUAACCCCUUUUAUAUACAUACACGUAAACUUAAUUUACACUAACCUCUCACUUAAAAUCAAAUUGACAAGCAUAUCUCAUACCAAAACAAACAAUAAACAAAUAGAAACUCAUCGAAAAUGAAAUUCAUGAAAUUCACUAACCUUUAUGAAUAUAGUACAUAUCAAUAACAAAGAUGAUGAUUCAGAUCUUGGUUGUACAUCUAUGGUGAUUUGUGGAUGAAAAGGGGUAAGGGUUCAAAAUGAUCAUAAAAGAUGAGUUUUUAGAAAUUUACAUGAAGAGGAUAAUUUUGGUAUUAUUGUAAAAUUUUAAAUAAAUUUAGGUGUAACUUGUUUUUUUUUUUUUGUGUGACUAGCACCAGUCUAUUUAAGGUAGCUAAAUAUACAAAUAUACUUACUCAUUCAAAUUAAAUUAAAUUUUUGGGGUGCAAAAGCUACCACAUUUAUCUAAAAGCCCCCGUGAUCAUAUUGGCUAGGAUAUGUGUUGUGUUAUUCCAAAACAACAUUUAUUUUAUAAUUCUUUGUAUUUGUAUUGAGUGAUUGCAUGUGCCUUUUAUUUGUUGUCGUGGUAGCAGAUUUGAACCUACUAUCCUGUACCCAAAUCAGUUCCUGUUCCAGGAUACAAGGAUGAAGUUUUUUGUUUAUUGCAGUGCAGCAAUAGCCAAUAAUAUAUGUUGUAGUUUAUGAUAAUGAUUUUUUGAGUCCAUAUGCGUUGUCAAAUGAGCAAAAGAUUUAAGAUUACUUCUUUGACACGAUUAUAUGAUUGAGUAGUAGAUAUUGAAAGAUGAGUAUUAUUUGAACAACCAAUUUGAUGAUAACUUAUUUGACAACCAUAUUUUACAAAGAAAAAAGUGGUAUUGGUACGGAAACCAUAGCAAUAGAGAGAUAAAGUAAAAAGUAACGUGAGUAUGAGAGAGAAAGUUGUUACAAAAGUUUUCAAUAAUGUUGAAAUAUCAUUUCUCAUAUUGAAAUGGACCUUAAUUAAAUUCAUUGUUAAUUUUCACGUGUAAAAAUCAUCAUCAAGAGUAGUGUACAACAAAAUGAAUAUUUGCCACACAUGACACAACAAUGAUUUAGUCCACUUCUAUUCAGCGACCCCACACGAUUUACCACACAUGUUAUUUUGCUCUGUGCAUUUGCAGUGUUGAAUCAUUACACAAAAAAUCUUCUGAAUUGGACACGGUUGAUACAUUAGUACACACCAAAUCUUCUGAAUUCAGCCACAUAUAUAAAUCAACCAACCAUGUUCAACCUGGCACAAAAACAAAUCAACAAUAUUCUUUUACAUCAAAUCCAUUCAUUGUCACACCAGAAACAAAAUUAACAAACAAAUUUUCCUUCUUGUUAUAAUUUGUUGUAAAUGGACAAAAGAAUUGUUGAUUCACACCAUGAACAAAGUGAGAGUGAAUUCUCUUCCCCUAUUCUUGGUUAUGUAAGCAAAUUUCUCAUGGAAGAUGAUGACAUAGAGGAAGACUACAAUAUGUUCCAACACAAUGAACAUGAUGGGUCUUCCAAUGCUCUUGGUUAUAUAAACCGAUUUCUCAUGGAAGAAGACUUUGAAAAAGAAUACACUAUGUUCCAAGAUUCCUUUGCUCUUCAACUUACUGAGAAAUCAUUUCAUGAUGUUAUUGUUCACACUCCUCUUCCUCCUCCUCCUCCUAUUGCUGCUGCUGCUGCUGCUGCUGCUACUACUACUACUACUACUCUCCCUUCUUCUUCUUCUUCCAUCCACCAUCAGAAAAACUACAAAUUUGUGCAUAGCCCUGACAUCAGUGAUUAUAGUUUCAGCAGUGGUAGCACUAGCUCCUUUGAACUUGAACCAAUUAUAGAGACAUACAACUACAAUUACAACACCUUUCCACUCCCAAAUACUCUUCCAAUUCCUCCAAACUUUGUUUCUCAAUUCGACUCAACCGUUUUCCCUUCUCAUGAGGUGAUUAAGACAGAAAACUUUGAAGAAGAGCAUUUUCUCAAUGUGUCACAAAAUGAGUCAGAACAAGUAUAUGUAGAUGAUAACAGCGAGUUACCAGAAUUAUUUGAUAAAUUACUAGUCCUUGGUACUAAAGUAAAAAAAGGGCCACUUCAAAACACAAGCUUUCAGCAGAAUUAUGAAUUAUCAAACAGAUUCUAUGGUUAUAGGAGACAGAGAAGUUAUGAGGAAGUUGUGGAUUUGAGGACACUAUUGAUGCUAUGUGCACAAUCCAUUUCUUGUAAUGAUAUUUCAAAUGCUAACCAAUUAUUAAACCAGAUUAAGAAACAUUCUUCUCCAACAGGUGAUGGUACUCAAAGAUUGGCACAUUUCUUUGGAAAUGCACUUGAAGCACGUUUAGCAGGAACUGGUUCAAAAAUCUAUAGAGCUCUAUCUUCCAAGAAAAAAUCUGCUGCAGAUAUGGCAAGAGCUCACCAAGUUUAUUCAUCAGCAUGCCCUUUUGAAAAGCUUGCAAUUAUGUUCUCAAACAAUGCAAUUUUUAAUGUAGCAAAAGAAACAGAAAGUCUUCACAUUAUAGAUUUUGGUGUUGGUUACGGUUUCAAGUGGCCUGGUUUAAUGCUUCGUUUAUCGAAAAGAUCUGGUGGGCCACCCAAGUUGAAGAUCACAGGGAUAGAUCUUCCAAAUUUGUUGGAGAGAGUGAAUGGAACAGGUCUUAGGCUUGCAGCUUAUUGCGAACGUUUCGGUGUUCCUUUUGAGUUCAAUGGUAUUGCGAAAAAUUGGGAAAGUAUCAAAGUUGAGGAUUUUAAGAUAAGGAAAAAUGAGUUUGUUGCUGUGAAUUGUUAUUUUAAAUUUGAGAAUCUACUUGAUGAGACGGUUGCUCCGGAGAAUCCAAGGGGUGCUGUUUUGGAUUUGAUUAAGAAGGCAAAUCCGAAUAUAUUUGUUCAAAGCAUUGUUAAUGGUUGUUAUGAUGCACCUUUUUUUGUGACAAGGUUUAAAGAAGCUGUUUUUCAUUACUCAUCAUUGUUUGAUAUGCUUGAUAACAACAAUGUUGAACGUGAGGAUCCUAAUAGGUUGAUGUUUGAGGAAGAGUUUUGGGGGAAGGAUAUAAUGAAUGUUAUAGCUUGUGAAGGUUGUGAUAGGGUUGAGAGGCCAGAGACAUAUAGGCAAUGGCAUUUUAGGCACAUGGGAAAUGGGUUUAAGUCUUUGAAAUUGGAUAAGCAGAUUAUAGAUAAAUUGAAGUGUAAGUUGAGAGAUGAUGCAUAUAAUAGUGAUUUUCUGUUUGAGGUGAAUGAAAAUUGGAUGCUACAAGGUUGGAAGGGUAGAAUUCUAUUUGGUUCUUCUUGUUGGAUUCCAGCAUAGAGCUUCACAACAUGUUGGGAGUAAACUAACAUUUUUGUUCUUGAAAAUUGUUAUGAAAAUAGCUAUUAAAAUUAAUGAAAGACUUAUAUAUUGCUUUGAAUAAUCUCGAUGCAUUAGGACAAACUAAAACUUUUAAAAUUAUGGUGCUAGUUCAAAAAAAGACUAUUUUCAUCGAUAUUUUUUAAUUUGAGAGAUUAAGCUGUCGAGACUGUUUGGUUCCACUUCUUUUCACCACAGUCGCGCAUCCAUGAGAUUUUUUGACCUGAAAAUGAGAAGUUAACAUUUGUUGCUUCCCGCGGUUUCAAGCAUAGAACUCACUUAGUAAAUUUGAGUACCAAACUGUCUUAGCGGUAUUGAUUUGAAGGGCAAAAUGGUGGAUUUAAUAUUAUAUUUUUUAGAAACUGCAAAUUUUAUUCACUUGACGUGUGUGCGCAAGAAGCACACGAAAACCCGCGGCUAGAUAACAAACAGAAUUACAAAGGGCUCAGAUAAAAACAGAAACCUCAAACCUCCAAAAACACACUAAACACACAACACAGAGGUGGAAAACAACCGAACUAAAAACGCAAACAGCAGGAAAACAAAAAACAGAUCAGCUCCCAAACAAAAUAAUAAGGCUGCCAUAUGCAAAACUGCACAAAACCAGCACAGGUCACCGCAAUAUACACAGCAUACCCCAGCCUCAAACUUGUUUACUGCUAAAACCGCUGAACACCUCCUCAUUACCGUAAGAGGCACGCUUUUGGAUUCCAACUCCACUCGUAGAACAAACACGCCGGCACCUUCAAACGGCUAAGAAUACAUCUCCACGAUAUAACCUUCACAGCCUCCACCGUACCCUCCACCUGACAAACCACAUUUUUGAAAAUUCGAUCAUUUCUCACCCUCAAUAAAUUCCACACUACGGCAUGCCAAAUCAAACGGAAUCCCUUACGGAUCUUGUUACUCCCUGCUGCCACAUUCCAUUCCUCCCACAGCAGAAACAUGUUAACCGGAAGCUCCAUAGCCACCUCAACACGCCAUUCCAAACCUCCAUAGCAAACACACAUUGAAUGAACAAGUGACUCGCCGACUCCGGAUUCCCCUCACACAAAACACAAUUCACCGAAUCGUCCGGAGGUAGGACUUGCCUAUGCCGUAAGUUAACUUUCGUCGGGAUCCUGUCAUGAAACAACUUCCAAGAAAAGGCAACCGAGACCGUGGUUUCCGCUAGCAUCAACACCUCCAACUUCUUAUACAUAGAUUUCACCAUGAAAACCCCUUUACCCUCCAUUCUCCACCAACAAAUAUCAUCUUCUACAGAGCCUCUAAAACUCUCCAAAUCCUCUAAUAAUUCCGUCAGUAACUCAUUCUCCCAAACAAAAAGGGGCCCCUCCAAACAAAGGUCCAAUUGGUAUCCGUUGUGUUGAUCGUCCCCACCUCUCCAACCAUCGCCUCUUUUUGGUUAGAAAGCAAGAAGAGUCUAGGAUAUUUCUCCCCGGAACGAAAUAUCUACCCUCCAAGCUACGUCCCAAAAACUAGUGUUCACACCAUUCCUAACCUUUCUAGUAAGUUCGGAAUUAAACCAAUUUGACACAUAUAUCACUACAACAAAAUUGAGAUUUAGUAACAUUCAAAAAAUGUAACUAAAUCAAGAAAAAUGUUACUAAUUAAAUUUAGUAACAGUUAAACAAUUGUUAGGUAAACCCCGUGUUACUAAAUUACUUCAAUAACAUUUUAUAGUAUUAUUAGUAACAUUUAGAAAAUGUUGCUUUUUUGUAUUUUUGUAACACUUUAAUAUCACUAGUAACAUAAAAAAAAUGUCACAUAAUAACUUUGGAGAAUUUAUAAAAAGUGUCGUAAAGUUGUCUAAAGUAAAAUUGCGAAUAUACCAAAUUUGAUUUUUCUUAGACUUUAUUAAGAUUUUGAAUUAGCCAAUAUUUGAAGAUCAAAUUUGCAAUUAAAAAUAUGUUCUCAUAAACAUUUGAAAUUUGAUUUCAUAAUGGAAAUAAACUAUACAACACAAUUUUGAUUACAUACUAAAAUGAUUACAAGUUUUUAUCCAAUAAAGCAUGUAAAGGUAAAAAUAAAAAUGUGUAAUAAACCUUCAUUACAGAGGCAUCCAAAAUAUAUAUAUCUAGGUUCUGUUCCUUUUUAUUGUUUCCAUUUUCGCACUAAAUAGUGCACACCCAUAGCCCCACUAGUUUUUGCAAUGUUAUAUCCUCAAGCAUGCCAUCGAUCAACCUCCUAAGCUUUCAUCACAACAAGUUGACCAAGAUGUUUUUUACCUUCGAAGAACCUGCAACAAAUUUGAAAACAUAAAGGAAUAAAAUUAUAUUGAUAUAUCAUGUCUCUGCUCAUAUUCUUUCAUUUCACCUCCAUGUAUAAACCAUAGAAUUCAGCUUACCAUGUUGUUUUCCCUUGUUUGUAAAAACUAAGAAAGAAGCCAGUGCAUGAAAAAAUAGCUGAUAUAUUACUAUUAUAUGGAAAAUCUUUCAGGAACCAUUACAUCUACUUUCAUUAUAAGAUCACACACUCCCAUUAUAAUCGACCACUCUUCUGAAUAACUUUUUUUUUUUUUUAAUUCAGUAAUUUUUAAUUACUCUAGCUAUAAUGCAUUCAAAUCAUGACUUGUCUCUGUGUAUGUCUAUGACAAUGCGUCCUAAUAAAAAAUAACACUGCGGAAAUUGCCAUAUGAUUAGAUUUCUUAAGCAAAUGGUCACCCUCUCUAAGAUAAAUUGAGAUUUUUAUACAAAAGCAUACUCAACAGAAAAAUGAAAGAAAACAGAAAGAAAAAAAAGCUUUAUAUGGAUAGAAAACAGUCAAAUUCAUGUACAGUGAUAGAAAACAGUCAAUUUUUAAAUGGAGAAAACUAGUGUUACCGUGUUCGAUAGUAGGGGUAUAGUAACAUUCUUUAAAAAAUGUUUCAAAAAGUUGUUAAAUAGUAACGUUAUUAUGGAUAUCACUGGUUAGAUGUCACUAAAUGUUAUAUAUGUAGUAGUGUAUCAUGUUUGUGUUCUUCCAAAUGAAAACAGUGCUUGGGUUGUUUAGUUGAUCUUUGGUGUUGGAAAGCAGCAUGGAGUAUGAUCCACAAAUUUUGAUGUUUUUUUUGACAAAUAAUUCAUUCUUAGACUUCAGCCUUAAUUAAGUCAGACUCCUCUAUAUUUCUUUUUGACAAUCAUACAUAAUAAAUUUGAGUAUACAUUAACACUGACUCCAAGUAAUUAAGUUAAUUACUUUACACCUCUCAUCUAUGCAUGAUAUUCUACACCAAGCAAGAUCAACUACUCCAUAGCUCUUAUGUAUACGAGGCCUUUAUAUAUUUUGGUAAUGUAGUCUAGGACUAUCCUAAGAGUGAGUGAGGUUUAAAGUAAUGAUACAUAGACAUCCUUAGAUGGUAAUACACCCUUUGACAUUCACACAAAAAUUUGACAUGUGGUCAUGUGGACCCCUACACAAGCACACUUUCUCUUUCAUCUCCUCUUCUCUCGUCCUAAUGCAUGAGAUGUAUGAGAAUAAAUAGUGUCUAUGUAACAUUUUUCUAAAGUAAACUUUGAGUGACUUAUUUUAUCUAUUGCUAGUUUUCUAUGGUUUUGUGGUUUCAAUUUUUUUUUUUUUUUUUUAAGUAUACACACACAACAGUACUUUGAAACGUGUGAUGUGAUGCACGAGAAGUUAAUUAUCUUAAUGAUUAAUUUUUGGAAAAUUAAAGGAUCAUACAUAAAGAUAAAAAUACUAAUCUAUUACAUUUUUGAGUCAAUUUAGACAUAAAAUACUCAUUAACCAAAAAUAAUACUCCCUCCGUCCCGCAAUAAAUGACCUAUUUGAAAAUUUGCAAUUUUGACCUAGCUUACUUUGAUCAUAUUUUUCUACUAAUAUACAUAUAUAAAUAAUAUCAUAUAAGAUGUCGUUAGAUUCGUCUCGAUGAAUAUUUUCAAAAUAUCAAAUUUUCAUGAUUUUUUCUAACAUAUUAUUCAAGAUAUUUAAGCUCAAAAUUAUGCAUUGAAAUGCGUAAUGCAGUCAACUGUAUCAUAUAUUAAGGGACGGAGGGAGUAAAAAAAAAUGACACCCGCGUGCGCACAUAUACACACAUGUAUGUAUGUAUAAAAGCAUGAACUGCAUAAUACAUUGAGAAAACAAUGAUGCAUGCAUUUUCUAAUUAAUGUCAUAGCAAGUGAUGGAGCAGUGUGGAUAUGCUCUUGAACAAAUUUUAUAAAAUUUGUUAUGCUCAUGAGUUAUUGCUCCCAAAGGACGAUGAAUCAAAAUCUUAAAUAAUGUUAACUUCUUAUUUUCAUAUCAAAUAGAUUGUUGAAAGAAAAUACUUAAUUUCUCUUCUUGAUGAUUUGAUAAUGAUCUCUCGGCAAACAAAGCUUAUGGAUGACGCGGCUGUGGUGCUAGUGCCAGUGCUAUGGUUAAUUAGUACGGGGAAGGAGGAAGUCCAAUAUGCAGUUGAGGAUUUCUAAGGUAGCGGACGAUAAUACCUGCAAAACAGACACUCACUCCGAAAGUCAAGUCAGUAUCUACUAGAGAGAGAAGCGUAUGAAGUGUGAUUUUGAUAUUGUACUUGGACGUGGUAGAAGUGCCACACUUAUAUUGACGAUUUGGUUGCAACCGUUCCCGUGUGAACCGGUGUCGGUUGCAGAAGACGGUUGGGUGCCAAGUGAACAACUAAAAUAAUUUCAAAGCAUAGUUUUAAAAAUCGGAUCAAUGAUUGACUCAGUAAGAGUACUGGGUCACUGAGUCAUUGGUCGAACUGGAUUGAAUCGAAUGACUUGAUCUUCAUAACAAAGAUUAUUUGCGUUGAAUUAGAUCGAACUGGGUGACUUUGAUCUCUCAAAAAAUUAUAAUUUUUUUACACUAAAUAAAAGCAUAUUUUUAUAAUAUAAAUAGAAACAUCUUCAUAAAUGCCCCUUGAAUUCAACUGCAUAUAUUUUUUAUUUUUAGAUAUAGUACUUAUUCAAAUGAAUACUAAAAAAAAAAUUCACUUCACAUCUACAAUACAAAUAAAAUCAAGUGUGUUAAAAAAUAUUUAUAAUUUUUUUUGUUCAAGUAUAGUUCGUUUUAAUGAUAAAUUAUAUAUGUGGUGGUAAAGUUGAUAUUGAAUUCCUAUUCGAAGAUAUGUUUAUUAUAUAUAUUUUAUUUGAAGCAAUUAGUUUGCAAGAGAUUCUCAUUGGUGCAAUGGUAAGGUACUAGUGUGAUACCUGUGCGUACGCACGGGUUAAUGUAUAUAUAUUAUUGAAUAAUGUAAUUUAAGUAAAACAAAAUAAAUAAUGACACUAAAAUUUAAGUUGAUAUAAUCAUUAAAACAACAAAGUAGAUAAACAUACAACAUGCAAUAGAUAUUAAACAAAUGACAAACAACUCAUGAUUACAAAUUACAUUACAUCAAAAAAAUGAUAUCGACAUAAAGAUUCAAAGGCUACUAAUCAGCAUUAAAUAUUAGUAUAACACCUGUACUCAAUUUCUUCUUUGUGACAAUACUAUCAACCAUAUUAAUGAUCCAUGGAUUUUUUCCCAAAGGAUUUUAUGAACAAAACUCAUGUUAGCACAUUUAUCAUGGAUAAGAUGAAAAUCGUCUUUUCAGCAACAAAGCCUUGUGUUCGUUCAAAAUAACAAUAAACAUAAUACGGAUCAUACACCAUAAAACGGAUUAAAUAGUUUUUAAUCAUACAAAUCACAUGUUUUUAAGUUUAAUCGAUAUAAAAUUUUAAUGGUAAUUUUAAUCCUUCACAAAAUUAGAGCUUUCAUUGUUGCAAAAUAAUUGAUGUCCAAGUGCAGCAGUAAAAUGUUUAAAAAUCGGACAAAACAUCUCAUAUUUAGCCUCUUGUAAAAAAAACUCAUAUUUAGCCUUCUUUUUUUCUUUUUUUUUUUUAAAAAAAAAAAAGAAGUAGAAUGAAAAAAAAUAAAAUUAACUCAAUAAAAUAUUCUUGAAAUUUUUUUAUGUGGGACACCCUAUAAAUUCUAUAGGCUCUUCAAAUAGGUUUUAAUGUGGGACACCCCCUAUAAAAAUUUUGAGUUGAAUUUUAUAUUCAACUUUAAUUCUAGACCAUUCAUUUUAUAAAAAAUUUAAUAAACAAUGACAUGGAAUUUUCUUAUAAGCUUAUUUUUUAUUGAUAUAUGAAGGUUUUUGAUUUCUCCGGUGGGCCAAUUCACCGGUUCCCGGUCCAACCAAUCAAUUCGGUUUGGUUUUUAAAACUAUGUUUUAAAAUGGUGUUUCCAUACGGGCAGGCACACAACUUACCAUGCUCAAGUAUCUUUGAGACGAUGCCUAUUAGUCCGGUCAGGAACAUAUAACAUUUUGAAAAAGUUAAGUCGCAUUCUUUACGGUGGUUUCAAGCUAAGAAAAUCCGUUUUGUUUUUGGGACUCAUAUGUGGUGGUCGAGCCCGCUUGUUUGUUUGGGUAUCGGCUGAUUUGUAUAUGUAUUUCGGUGCUGCCUUUGUAUAUUUUUCAUGGUCUCUUUGAUACACCUUGUGCUGAAGAGAUUACGUGACCGUGUUAUAUCAUUUUUGCUUGUUCAAAAAAACAUUUUAAUUUCCUCAAAAAUAUACAUUUUAAUAAAAGCAACCAAAUACAUAUAUUAAUACUAUCAUCAUUUAUUAAAUAAUAAUUUGCAAUAAUGUGCAUGAUAAAACCAUUAAAAAACAAAAAGUUAGGAAAUUCAAAAAAAACUUUCUUUCCUUAAAAAAGUUGCUUAAGAGAUAACUUAACAACUUAUUAGGAAAUUUAAAACAAUAACUUUGUAAUAACUUUUAUGUAAAAGAUAAGAUAUGUAAGAUCAUCUUUUUUUCACAAAAAAGCCAAAAAAUCAGGGAAUUGAUAACAAUUUUUUUGCACCAAAAAUUUAUAUGAGAGACUUAAUAACUUUUAUAUAUAAUAAAUAUAAGAAGACAAAAAAUUAGAAAACUUUCAACUAAUUUUUUAGCUUCCAUAAACUUGUUUAAGAGACUUGAGCAUUUUACAAUUAUUUUUUCUCCAAAAAUUUACUUAAAAAGGUUAAGAACUUUUACAUAUAAUAAGAUGCGAAAUAUACCAAAUUAUCCCCGGCAAAAAAGAAUGAGGAAGUAUAUGGUUAUGAUUGAUCUCGUCUCGUCUAUAAAGGUUAGUCACAUUAUUUGCUUUGUCCAUUUGCAGCGUUGACUUGGUCUUGAACCACUUAAAUAUAAUUGGACACGGUUGAUACAUAAUAGUAAUACACCAAAUAUGAUCAGCCACUUAUAUCAAUCAACCAACCAUAUUCAACCUCGUACACAAAUAAAAAAUAUUAUGUUAACUCAAAUCUCAUGGAAGAAGACUUUGAAAAGGAGUACACUAUGUUCCAAGAUUCUUUUACUCUUCAACUUACUGAAAAAUCAUUUCAUGAUGUUAUUGUUCACACUCCUCUUCCUCCUCCUCCUCCUAUUGCUACUUUGUGCAUAGCCCUAACUUCAGUGAUUAUAGUUUCAGCAGUGGUAGGACUAGCUACUUUGAACUUGAUCCAAUUAUCCCUUACUCUAAAUGCUUAUUAGGUCAUGCUAUCAUUAACCCUAAUUUUUCCCUCUAAUAACCUGUCAUUAAUUGCUAAUCCCACAUAAUCCAAAUAUUUUUCCCUCCUAUUCCAUUGCCUAUUUGAAUUUGAAUUUUGUUGUUGUUUGUUUUACCUUCAUCUGCAUGCGCUACUGAUUUAAUGCAAUGAUGCCAUCAAGUUAAACCUUUGGUAUAACCCAUGCAAAUAUGAGUGGUUAUCUGAUUUAAUAUGUCGGUUUCCAAUGCAAGGCUCUCUACAUCCAGAGUUAAAUAUAUACGUUUCCAUACAUGCUGCACUUUUACAAAGACAUUCCAAUUUUUUAAGGUGGUCUUUCCAAUUCUACUAAACUCUUUGACCUUUUCAAUUCUACAACUCACAAAAAUUUCUCCUCUCAUGUGUUGCGGCCCAGCAGAAGCAUUCUCAGUGGAAUUAUUUUUAUCUCAUGCAUCAAUUUACCCUUUUAUCAAUUGAGUUCCUGUUCCUGUGAUCAAAAUGCUUCCAAACAAAACAACCAUUCCUCCAACAAUCGAUAAUGAUUCCUUUAAUUUUUCACAGUAGACAAUGUUUCCUUUCCUUUCCUUUUAAUUUUUUUUUUUGUAGAAUUAUUUUUCUUCUUUUCCGUCAAGCUUGUUGUCUUGGCUCCAUCAUGGCUGACUCUGUUUUUUCAGGAAAGCUGUUUUUCCCUCUUCCUCUUUGCAAUAAUAUGCUACGCUUCGUUGGGGUGUAUGUUUAUUUGUUGUACUACUGUGUCAAGUUUUUUCUAAAAACAAUUGCUUUUGAUUUUUCUCAUGAGUGUCGUGGGGUUUGCAGUUAGCAUAUCUUUUUUCUUUUCUUUUUCUGGCUUUUGGUUAUCUUUUGUAGGUGCAAAAGAGAAGAAGGCAUAACCCUACCCCACAUUAUGUUGCAUGAAAUUGAGAAGUGACAGUGCUAUUGUAUUAUAACCAUCAAGGGCUGUUUUGGUUGUGUGGGAUUAUAAGGGGAUGCAUUGUUCUCAAUAUACAUAGGUGUAUUGAUAUUUACCUUUGUAUGGUUGAAGUGUAUUGUGCCUUGAUUUGUGGCAAAUGUUUUCAUCUUGGUGUAAUUUGUCCAUGAUUUCACAUUGAUUUGUAAAUGGGUCAUCAGUGGUUGUUUGAUACAUUGAAGAUAAAGUGAUAUGACGUUUAUGAAUUUUUUUUUUACAUAGUUUAUGAUACAUUUAUGCUUACUUUAUGAAUUUGUUCUAAAUAUGAAAACUAAUGAUAAUUGAAAGGGUAUAUUUAAAAAUUUGGUUAAAGCUAGACAGUAAUUUUAUACAUUUUGUUUAUGCAUCUCUUAUAAGGUUCAAUGGAAGAUGCAAAUAUUGCCUAACCAACACAGUAUCAUAUUCAAUUUUUUAAAUAUCAACAUCAUCAUAAUUUGAUUUUGUGUGUGUUUGGAGGAAUUGAUUUUGAUCGAAUUGAGUUUGAGAGAAUUGAUUUUGGUUAAAAGUGAGUUUGAUGUAAAUUAAUUUAUGUUUGGAUACACAUGUACAAAAAUGAUUCUUAUGAAUUAUAGUUGUUUGGAUAUUUUAGAUUGAAAUUGUUUUUGGAUGUCUAAUUACCAAAAUGGGUUUUAAUUGUAUAAAUAAAUUUUAACUAAUAGUCAAUAGUAAAACAAAAAAAAAAUCUAAAUAAUCAACCAAAAACAGCCUAAGCCAACCCAAUAAUAUUAAUAAAAAAAACGUUAAUAAAAAAAACCAUCAAUUAAAAUCAUCUCCAUGUUACUGAUAUCGUGUGCCCCCCUCUUGUCAUUUCGAGAAGCUUCAAUUCCAUUUUUACCAUUUAUACCCAUCUCUCAGUACUCUUCUACCACUUCUCCUUCUCUCAUAUAUAGCAUUCUUAUCUUAUUUUACCAUUUUUUUCAAACUUAAAAGGAAAAAAAUAAAAAACAAAAUUAUAUGGUUUCACAAAGGAAGGGACAACAUGCAUCUGGUUUAAGUUGUAGAUCUGGGUUUCACAAAGUUGCUGUCAAUUCUUUUUAUGAAAUACCAUCGAAAAGCAACCUAUUUCUAUCCCCUCUUCUCCAUGUUUGUUCCUUUUCUUUUCUGAACCACAAAACGUGGAGUCAAUUCUUUUAUCAUCUCUAACAUGUAAAUGUCACUGUAGUAAGCAAAAAACAAAAUUUGCACCAAGAAGAAGAGAGUGAAUGUGAUCUCAUACAAGCCAUAGCAAGCCAACAAAGUUUGUAGUUUUUUUUUUUUUUUUUGCCGUUUGAAGCCCAGUGUUACGAAGGGGUAAAAUAGAUACUCCCUCCGGUCUUGAAUGUAAGAAACAAAAAAAAAAUCACACAUAUUAAGAAAGUGGAUUGAGUCAUUGUAAAAAAUACCAUUUUUCCUGUUAUGUCCUUGUCUUGGAAACAUGACUUUUGAACUCCACCAAUGAAAAAUCUUUGGAAUGCGUUAAACAUGGGAAUGUGAAACAAAUUGGAUAAAGUAAAUGAGGUUAAAAUUGGAAUAGUAACAUUUAAUAGGAUGACUUUUGUAUACUUUUGCUUACAUUUGAGACCAACAAUUUUUUUAUUUUGUUUCUUACAUUCGAGACCGGAGGGAGUAUGUUGUUGGUGACGUGCGAUGCUAAAACGAGAAUUGAUUCUCUGAUAAUUGUAAAGCUAGGAAUUCUAGCUUUUGCCAGACGCGCGGUUUUGGGCAAGACGUGCAAUUGCGGCGAAAGCGGACUUGGGAUCCAAACACCUCUGAUUCGUGUUUGACAGAGUAGAAACGUGCUUUUCGUGUUGCCACCGCAUAACCAAACAAGCACUUUAAUUGAUGUACUUGCAUAUUUUUAAAAAUAAAUUAAACUCAAUUUACGCAGUUAUAUUACUAUUUUAUAUUUUAAAGUUUGUGCUUGAGUAAGGCAAACAACACAUUCUUUAACCACUAUUUUUAUAUUAUGUUUUUACUUUUUUAUUUUAUUUUUUUAUUAAUGUGAUUAACCACUUAUCUAAUGUUUAUCUAAUCGAUCUCGUAGUAGUGUUGGAGAAAAAAUAUUUAUACCGCGAUUAUCUCUAUCACCUUCAGACAUGAAUUCCUUUCAAGUUUUAAAGACGACAGUUUCCUUUAGCGGUCUCAUUUGUCAUGACUAUUAACAAGAGUCAGGGGCAAUCAUUGCGACAUGUGGAGUUGUUCCUCCCAACGUUUGUAUUUUCACAUUAACAGCUAUACGUUGUUGUAUCUAGAGUUACAUCUAGAGAAGGAUUGAAAAUAUUGAUAAAUAACAAAGAUGGAGAAGAUAUUGAUGUGACAUCUAACAUCGUGUGCGAAUAAGUAUUUCGAAAUGUACAAUACUCUUUAAUAUAUGCUACACUGUCUUUAAACUCUUUUCAUCUUUUAGUUGUAACAUUAUCAUUCCUUAAUAGAAUAUUAUGCUAUGUUUGUUUCUUUAGUGACUCUAAGUGGCUCAUAAGACCCGUGUUGUUGCACGGGUCAAAGAUCUAGUAGACUCAUACAACUACAAUUACAACCCUUUUCUACUCCCAAAUACUCCUCCAUUUUCUCCUAAUAACUUUGUUUCUCAAUCUAAUUCAACCCUUUUCCCUUCCUUCAAUAAUGCUCUUUCUCAUGACGCAAUUCAGACAGAGAACUUUGAAGAAGAGCAUUUUCUCAAUGUGUCACAAAAUGGAUCAGAACAAUUGCAUGUAGGUGAUACCAGUGAGUUAUCAGAAUUAUUUGAUAAAGUACUAGUUCUUGGUACUAAAUUCACAAAAGGGCUACUUCGAAACACAAGCUUUCAGCAGAAUGAAGAAUUAUCAAACAGAUUCUAUGGUUCUAGGAGACAAAGAAGUUAUGAGGAAGUUGUGGAUUUGAGGACACUAUUGAUGCUGUGAGCACAAUCCAUUUCUUGUAAUGAUAUUUCAAAUGCAAAUCAAUUAUUAAACCAGAUUAAGAAACAUUCUUCUCCAACCGGUGAUGGAACUCAAAGAUUGGCACAUUUCUUUGAAAAUGCACUUGAAGCACGUUUAGCAGGAUGGUUCACAUAUUUAUAGAGCUCUAUCUUCCAAGAAGAAAUCUGCUACAGAUAUGAUAAGAGCCUACCAGGUUUAUUCAUCAGCAUGCCCUUUUGAAAAACUUGCAAUUAUUUUCUCAAACGAUGCAGUUUUGUAUGUAGCCAAAGAAACAGAAAGUCUUCACAUUAUAGAUUUUGGUGUUGGUUAUGGUUUCAAGUGGCCUGCUUUUAUACACCGUCUAUCGAAAAGAUCCGGUGGGCCACCCAAAUUGAGGAUCACAGGGAUAGAUCUUCCAAAUUCAUUGGAGAGAGUGAAAGAAACUGGUCUUAGGCUUGCAAGUUAUUGCAAACGUUUCAAUGUUCCUUUUGAGUACAAUGGUAUUGCAAAAAAUUGGGAAAGUAUCAAAGUUGAAGAUUUUAAGAUAAGGAAAAACGAGUUUGUUGCUGUGAAUUGUUUGUUUAAGUUUGAGAAUCUACUGGAUGAGACAGUAGUUUCGGAGAAUCCGAAGGGUGAUGUUUUGGAUUUGAUUAGAAAGACAAAUCCGAAUAUAUUUAUUCAUAGCAUUGUUAAUGGUGGUUACGAUGAACCUUUUUUUGUGACAAGGUUUAAGGAAGCUGUUUUUCAUUAUUCAGCAUUGUUUGAUA
rnacentral:lncRNA from 1 species